rnacentral:rRNA from 1 species
UACAGAGGGUGCUAGCGUUGUUCGGAAUUAUUGGGCGUAAAGAGCUCGUAGGCGGUGUGUCACGUCGGCCGUGAAAACCUGCAGCUUAACUGUGGGCUUGCGGUCGAUACGGGCAUCACUGGAGUUCGGCAGGGGAGACUGGAAUUCCUGGUGUAGCGGUGAAAUGCGCAGAUAUCAGGAGGAACACCGGUGGCGAAGGCGGGUCUCUGGGCCGAUACUGACGCUGAGGAGCGAAAGCGUGGGGGAGCGAACAGG